UUUAAACACAUUUGUGGAUUUUCGUGUCCAACAUUUUAUCAUCGUUUUAUUUAAUUUUUUUUAUGAUUAGUAUUUUUGUUAUUAUUAGAUGAAACUUGAAUAGUAGCUUUAUGCAUGACUUUUGUUAUAUAUUUUUAUAAAUUUCUUAAAUAAGACGUACGGUUAAACGUUGUAUUUACGUGGAAUUUCACGACUGCCUUUUCA
rfam:Oryza sativa Japonica Group DNA, chromosome 12, cultivar: Nipponbare, complete sequence.